rnacentral:rRNA from 1 species
UACGUAGGGCGCAAGCGUUGUCCGGAAUUAUUGGGCGUAAAGAGCUCGUAGGCGGUUUGUCGCGUCUGCUGUGAAAACCUGAGGCUCAACCUCGGGCUUGCAGUGGGUACGGGCAGACUAGAGUGCGGUAGGGGUGACUGGAAUUCCUGGUGUAGCGGUGGAAUGCGCAGAUAUCAGGAGGAACACCGAUGGCGAAGGCGGGUCUCUGGGCCGAUACUGACGCUGAGGAGCGAAAGCGUGGGGAGCGAACAGG